AUAUUGGACAAUGGGGGAAACCCUGAUCCAGCCAUCGCGCGUGUAUGAUGAAGGCCUUCGGGUUGUGAAGUACUUUUGGCAGAGAAGAAACGGUAUCUCAUAAUACGAGAUACUGCUGACGGUAUCUGCAGAAUAAUCACCGGCUAACUACUUGCCAGCAGCCGCGGUAAUACGUAGGGUGCAAGCGUUAAUCGGAAUUACUGGGCGUAAAGCGUGUGUAGGCGGUUCGGAAAGAAAGAUGUGAAAGCCCAGGGCUCAACCUUGGAACUCCGUUUUUAACUGCCAAGCUAGAGUAUGUCAGAGGGGGGUAGAAUUCAACGUGUAGCAGUGAAAUGCGUAGAUAUGUGGAGGAAUACCGAUGGCGAAGGCAGCCCCCUGGGAUAAUACUGACACUCAGACACGAAAGCGUGGGGAGCAAACAG
rnacentral:rRNA from 1 species